rnacentral:rRNA from 1 species
UGGGGAAUCUUGCACAAUGGGGGAAACCCUGAUGCAGCGACGCCGCGUGAGCGAUGAAGGUUUUCGAAUCGUAAAGCCCUGUCCUAUGGGAAGAUAAUGACGGUACCAUAGGAGGAAGCCCCGGCUAACUACGUGCCAGCAGCCGCGGUAAUACGUAGGGGGCGAGCGUUGUCCGGAAUUACUGGGCGUAAAGGGUUCGCAGGCGGCAUGACAAGUCCGAUGUAAAAGGCGAAAGCUCAACUUUCGUAAGCAUCGGAAACUGUCAAGCUUGCGUGGAGGAGAGGCAAGUGGAAUUCCUAGUGUGGCGGUGGAAUGCGUAGAUAUUAGGAGGAAUACCGGUGGCGAAGGCGACUUGCUGGACUUCAACUGACGCUAAGGAACGAAAGCGUGGGUAGCAAACAGG